AGUCGAGCGGCAGCACAGAGGAACUUGUUCCUUGGGUGGCGAGCGGCGGACGGGUGAGUAAUGCCUAGGAAAUUGCCCUGAUGUGGGGGAUAACCAUUGGAAACGAUGGCUAAUACCGCAUGAUGCCUACGGGCCAAAGAGGGGGACCUUCGGGCCUCUCGCGUCAGGAUAUGCCUAGGUGGGAUUAGCUAGUUGGUGAGGUAAUGGCUCACCAAGGCGACGAUCCCUAGCUGGUCUGAGAGGAUGAUCAGCCACACUGGAACUGAGACACGGUCCAGACUCCUACGGGAGGCAGCAGUGGGGAAUAUUGCACAAUGGGCGCAAGCCUGAUGCAGCCAUGCCGCGUGUGUGAAGAAGGCCUUCGGGUUGUAAAGCACUUUCAGUCGUGAGGAAGGUGGUGUUGUUAAUAGCAGCAUCAUUUGACGUUAGCGACAGAAGAAGCACCGGCUAACUCCGUGCCAGCAGCCGCGGUAAUACGGAGGGUGCGAGCGUUAAUCGGAAUUACUGGGCGUAAAGCGCAUGCAGGUGGUUUGUUAAGUCAGAUGUGAAAGCCCGGGGCUCAACCUCGGAAUAGCAUUUGAAACUGGCAAGCUAGAGUACUGUAGAGGGGGGUAGAAUUUCAGUGUAGCGGUGAAAUGCGUAGAGAUCUGAAGGAUACCGGUGGCGAAGGCGGCCCCCUGGACAGAUACUGACACUCAGAUGCGAAAGCGUGGGGAGCAAACAGGAUUAGAUACCCUGCUAGUCCACGCCGUAAACGAUGUCUACUUGGGAGGUUGUGGCUUGAGCCGUGGCUUUCGGAGCUACGCGUUAGUAGACGCUGGGGGAGUA
rnacentral:rRNA from 1 species